rnacentral:rRNA from 1 species
CCUACGGGGGGCUGCAGUGGGGAAUCUUCCGCAAUGGGCGCAAGCCUGACGGAGCAACGCCGCGUGAAUGAAGAAGGCCUUCGGGUCGUAAAGUUCUGUUGAAAGGGAAGAAGUCUGUGUGUGUGAAUAAUGCAUACAGGUGACGGUACCUUUUGAGGAAGCUCCGGCUAACUACGUGCCAGCAGCCGCGGUAAUACGUAGGGAGCGAGCGUUGUCCGGAAUUACUGGGCGUAAAGGGCGCGUAGGCGGGAUAUUAAGUCAGGUGUGAAAACGUAGGGCUUAACUUUACGAUUGCACAUGAAACUAAUAUUCUUGAGGACAGGAGAGGAAAGCGGAAUUCCUAGUGUAGCGGUGAAAUGCGUAGAUAUUAGGAGGAACACCAGUGGCGAAGGCGGCUUUCUGGACUGUAACUGACGCUGAGGCGCGAAAGCGUGGGUAGCGAACGGGCUUAGAUACCCCGGUAGUC